CCGCCAGCCGUCCGCAGAGCCGAGCGGGGUAUCCCCUCUCACACGGCCGUGGCCACAACCUCAGCCCUCCUCGCACCUCCCUUCGCAGCUCACGUCUCCUCCCGUGGGGUGUCCCGGCCUCCGCCUGCCGAUGUCGGCAGUCAGCAGAGCCCCGGCCAUCUUCCUCCGGCCGUCCAGUCCCCGCUGCUCCCUGGCUCGCCACUUUUCGUUAACCAGGGCACUCCGGACCGCCCCGCCUGCGAUCAGGCGCUGCGGAAGACAGCCCUGUGGGCUGGAGAGACGACAAGGACCUCGCGGCGCGGCGAAAGGGGUGUAGUCUGCUACUACCGCGGCAGGGAGUUGGGAGGGCGGCCAAAAGUGACUUCGAAUUGCAGCUAGCCGUUUGGAACGUGGCCCAAAAGGCUCUCAUUUUCGUGGCUGGAACUGCCGCCGCGGUGCUUGCCUGCGGUCCGGGUCAGGCGUUGCCCUCCCGCCGGGCGGGCGAGGAGCGGUGCAUGCUGGGAUUUGUAGUUCGUCCCCAUGAGGCUCGUCCUGGGAACAUUAAGGGGAGGAACCCGAGCCUAAUCUUGUCAGCGCAGCCUGGAGAUUAGGACCCGGAGUUGCCGAGGUGUCAGCAUCCUUUGCUCUUGAAUUGAUUAAAAAGUGUAAUCAAAUGCAUAUAUUUUCUUCAAACAAGUUUUACCCGAAAGUUGGUUGAAAGAGGCUAAAUCAGGGAGUUCUUAAUUUUGCGUCUGCAAGGCGGCUUUUUAGUUCUGGAUUCUUUUCCGGCUUAUUCUAAGACACCUAUGAGUCGUGGGGCUUCUCUUUCGAAGUCUUUAAGUGGACAGUGCGCAUGCGCCAACUUCCUCUUUUUUCCGGUUGGAACCAUGGAGGGUGCAGAAGAGAAGAAGAAGAAGGUUCCUGCUGUGCCAGAAACCCUUAAGAAAAAGCGAAGGAAUUUCGCAGAGCUGAAGGUCAAGCGCCUGAGAAAGAAGUUUGCCCAAAAGAUGCUUCGAAAGGCAAGGAGGAAGCUUAUCUAUGAAAAAGCGAAGCACUAUCACAAGGAGUAUAGGCAGAUGUACAGAACUGAAAUUCGAAUGGCGAGGAUGGCAAGAAAAGCUGGCAACUUCUAUGUACCUGCUGAACCCAAAUUGGCGUUUGUCAUCAGGAUCAGAGGGUACCCCAAUCUGAAGUCAGUAAAUGAGCUAAUCUACAAGCGUGGUUAUGGCAAAAUCAAUAAGAAGCGAAUUGCUUUGACAGAUAACGCUUUGAUUGCUCGAUCUCUUGGUAGGUUCUGUUUGGGGGAAAGUUUGACCAUGCUAUAACUUCCUAUCCUCUUGUGGCUGUACAUUUCUCACUAUUGUACAUUUUCAUAUAUUCCCUGUGAUUCUUGAUUAAGCUUAAAGAAAAUGUAAGGCAUGGUUUCAUUGGCUUGAACCUUAUCUUCGUAAAGCCAUGCAUUUACCUUGUUUAUUCCUGGUGUGUUUUUAUUUCACAGCCUACAGUUGCUCUUGUUGGGUGUCCUAAAGUCUAACAAUUAAUUCAAAACUUUUUGCAACUUUAAUAAUUUUAACCUUAAAAUAUUUAGGUAAAUAUGGCAUCAUCUGCAUGGAGGAUCUGAUUCAUGAGAUCUAUACUGUUGGAAAACGCUUCAAAGAGGCAAAUAACUUCCUGUGGCCCUUCAAAUUAUCUUCUCCACGAGGUGGAAUGAAGAAAAGACCACCCAUUUUGUAGAAGGUGGAGAUGCUGGCAACAGGGAGGACCAGAUCAACAGGCUUAUUAGAAGAAUGAACUAAGGUGAGAGACCUCAUCCUGAGAAAUGUCGAGUUAACGCUAGAGUGCAAGUGCUGGUAAUCUUGAAUACUUUUCCCAUUAAAUAUUGAGGGAGGUCUGAAUUUUAAUCAGUGCUUUUGUGGGGAGCGGGAUCAACUAUCUUAACGAUUACAUUUGGUUUGUUACUUAAUGAUUACAGUUGGUUAGCUUUUGAGGACCUUUCUGGAGGAAAGGAAAAGCCUGUUUGGGGAGUUUUAAAGAUGGAAAUUGGGUGAUCUUAAAAUGUAAACUCAAUAGUUAACUUUUAACUGUCUAUGUUAAUUGUUAGCCGGCUAAGGUGUUUUCUAA
ensembl:lincRNA